AAGUCUCACUAUGUUGCCUAUGCUGGCCUCAACCUCCUGAGCUCAAGGGGUCCUCCCACCUCAGCCUCCCAAAGUUUUAGGCUUACAGACAUCAGCCACCGUGCCUGACCCCUGCUAACAUCUUGAUUUUCGCCCAGAAAGACUCAUUUUGGACUUACGACCUGCAGAUUAUAAGGUAAUAAAUUUGUGUUAUUUAAAUAAAGAUACUACUUUUGAGGUGAUUUAUCACAGCAGUGAUUUUUAAAAAAUGAAUACAAACUUUUUGUAUCCAUUUUUCUUUUUAAAUCAUUGUGUCUUUUCCCUUGGUUACAGACUAUUGUGGCUGUCACUCAGGUUUUCUGCUCAUUGGUAGACAAAAGGUGGGUCUCUCCAUGGUCUGUUGGAACUUCUUCAUGACAUGGUGUCUGAGUUACAAGAACAAGCAUCCCAUGAGAACCAGGUAGGAGCUGUAUUUUCUUUUCUGACCUAGCCCCAGAAGUCAUGAGGCUUCAUUUCCACUAUUGUCAUAAGUCUACCCAGGCUCAAGAGGAGGAUGCAGAGAUGCCCCCUUUCAGUGAGAGGAUUAUCUAAGUCACAUUAAAGAAGAGCAUGUUGGACGGAAGACACUAUUGCAGUAUUUUUGGAAACUAAAGCCUACCCCAUUCUUCAAGCAUUACCGUCAAUUCUCUGGUCUCAGCAUUCUCCCCUUUUGCUUAUGUUAGCCGGAGUUGGUUUCUGCUUUUGCUUGUAACCAAAGAAUAAUGUAGCUGGCAUAAGCACCAACGUAUCAGAAAAAGUAUAAAUAUUUAAAUUUCCUUAUUAAAAGACAGAAGCUCUGAAUUUGUAGAAACAAAGCAAAACAACCCCAACAAAUUAAGAAUGUACAUGCUUUUCAAAUGUCCCACAGAAAAUCAACAACAUUGGACCAGGCCAAAAAGUACGCUUUUAAUAAUUUCUCAAAAGCAACAAUCAUACAUACCAUAUCAUUCCUGUAACAGAUCCAUCGAAACCUGUAAUUCUCAAUUAUUGAAACUUUUUCACUAGAAUGACUUUUGUUUCUCAUUAUACUUUAAGUUACUCCCGGAAGCCAACACAAGAAUUUAUCAUCAUUUUAAACAGCUCUUCUUUAGAAAAUAAAGCUCCAGUUUUCUUUUGUCCAAUUACUGCAGUCUUCCCGCUCCCCGGAAGGCUUCACUGACUUUACUGUAGCCUCACAAAGACUCCAUCUCUGUCUAUUGGUAAGCAUUCUUUAUCACUUUCCAAUUGGUCUUCCCUCUUACUCUUCUUCCCAGUUUUGUACUGGACCUCAGAGCGCCUGAAGGAGCUGAAUUUCCAUGUACUGUCUUCCACAUAAUGAGAUCCGAGGUGAAGAACGUGGUCCCUGGAGUUGAACUGCUUGAAGUCAAAUCCCAAAAUAGAAAAAGAAAAAAAAAUACAGUAGUUUUAUUGUUUUUAUUUCUUGUCUCUCCCUGAUAGAUAGUUUUCUUUAAAAACCAAAUGCUUUUAGAAUAAUAAUGGCAAGUGAUUUUAUCUCUUUUGUAUUAAAUAGGCUUGGAGCAAUUUUCUUAAUUAUCCAGCACGAUUUAAGCCCAAAGGCAAACAUACUUUACCUAAAAUACCACUAUUACACUUUCCCUAAGUGCAGAAAACUACUUUUACUAAAAAUUUGGCAAGCACUUUCCAAACAGCAUUUUCUGUUUUCAUUCCUUGAGAAUUCCCUAACAAGUAUGCAUAGAAAUUUUAAUAUACAGCUGUAAUCCUUCGAUAUUUAUUGUAAAAGUUUAAUUGUUUAUCAUUUUUUUGGAAUUUGCUUAAUCUGCUUAAAUCCUAAAGUGGUUUUCAAUGUAGUUGUAUUAUGGCCAAGUAAUUGAGUUUUCAGCUUGCUUUUCUUUCAAUAUUUUUAGGCUCUAACCUAGUAUCCUGCAACAGUACCUACAUGCCUAGUCAAUGAUGAAACAUACUGUAACUGAAAUGAUGAAAGGGCAUUUAUUCUGAUUACCAAGGCCUAUUCACACCAUGUCAAAAGCCUGGGAUGCUUUGCUUCCUGCUGGCUAUCUCAAUGUGCUUCCACUUUUCCCAUAUAACUUUUUUACAGAACUGGGUCCCAUUUAAUUUUAGAGUUAAAAUGUCCCAUACCCUACCGUACAUGCAAAAUAAUUUUCAGUUUUUUUUAUUUCAUAUUCAUACAUUUGAAUGGUAUAACCCCAGGUUAGCCAGAGCUGGGGAAGGAAGUGGGUAGCCUAACUGGACCUUUACAUGAAGUCAUAGGGUAGAAAAAAGUUCUUAUCAGACUUUUCAAGCUGGACCUUAAAGAUAAGCAACUCCAACACCCUCGUUUUACAGAUAAGGAAACCAAGGUCCAGAAACACUAUGUGACUUGCUCAGCGUUACAGAGUUAGCACAGGAAAGGGCUUUGGGAACUGAAGACUUUGUGCUAAAAAAAGAAAGAAA